CAAAAAAAAUAAAUAAGUAAAAUAGCAACUUGUUUUGAUAAUUAUGCUUUGAUAAUUAUGCCCCAACCAUAACUAAUUUCCAAUUAGUCUUCCCUGAAAUGCAGAAUAUAAUUGUUUUUGGUACUAAAACAAAGUUAUCUGGCGAAUUAACAUUAUUGUCCUAAGUUAUUGAGAAAACAUUCAUAUUUAAAAUACAUAGUCUUAAGUAGUUGCCUAAAGACCUAAUUUGUAUAUUCACCUACAUAACUAACCUGUUAGAUUACCUCUAUAUACAAAAAUAGGUGUUACUAGUAAUUUUACAUAUUAAAUGUGUCCAAGGUACUUAUUUCAAAUUGAGAAACUGAUAUAAAAACAAAAACACACUAUGGCAUCAAAUUAUUUAGGUAUAAAUCAGGGCAGUCUCUACUUUGCUAUACACUUUGGUAAAUUUUAAAUACUUUUUUAACCAAUUCACCACACAGAAAAUCUAGAAAAUAUAUACACUAAUGUCUCCAUAUGCUAAUAUGCUAGUCACAAGUGGCUAUGUUUAUAAUAAAGCAUUGUAAAAAAUAAAUGAUUUUUGAAUGUGUCUACCAGAUGAAUUGUUUUUCUGGAAAAUCGGCUCAAGAAAAUGCUGAAAAAUUCAUUUGCCUUGGAUCUAAUUAAAUCUUAGGAAUACAAGACUUAAGACUUGCUGCAUCCCAGGCUCUACUUCCCAUGAUGAUCACUAAGUUUGGCAUCAGAGCAAAGUUAAUGUUGAGAGAUUUUAUUUCAAUAUAGUUACUGCAGGGCCUACAAAGCAAUAGGAGAUGGGGAAUCUGUAAGAAAAUUUAGGCACAAUAACUCCAAAGGUACUUUUUCCAGGUAAAGAAUUAUAAACUUAGCAUUUUAGUGUUGUGUAACUGUUAAAAUAUUGAUCUUUUCCUAUUUGACCUACUUGAAUUGUAAUAUGUGAUCUGUCUUUUUUGGUUCCUUGAGCAAUACUGAGGACCCUGGUCCCUGUCCCACUCUCCCCUCCACCACCCUAUCCUUGCUAGAUAGGCACUCUACACCUUAAGUCAUGCAUCACCCCUCUUUUGCUUUAUCUUUCUGAUAGUGCCUCCUAUUUGAUGUAGCUGCGAUUUUAAACAUGUACCACUGCACUGAGCCCAAAAGAACUUAAGGGAAAAACUAAGGUUAUGAAAGGGUACUAUAAAGCUCAGCAAUUCCCAACUAGAUGAUAAUAUUUCAAAAUGCCUCACAAAGUUCUGAUCUAUAUACUGCUGCAAAAACUCCAAAAACUUUCCAGGGCUAAUUCACAAAGCAAAUAAUUUCAAUCCAUCUGGGUUAACAAUUUCCAAGUUCCUGCCCAAACUGUUAUUUACAGCCCACUAACUGCAAACAGUUCAUUUCACUUUAAAGAUGUAGGAAAACAAAAAGUCUGGGAGUUUUACUGUAUUUUCAAGGAAAAAUUAUAAAAUUUAAUAAAUUCUGAAAAUAUUUUAAAGCUCAGGAAAGAUUUCCCUAUAAAAUAUAGUGGAAUGUAAAUAUAGUACUUGUGGCUAUAAAAAUGGACCCUAGCACAUUUACUUAUCGGUAAAUGCUGUAGGGCUGACUUCAAACUUCAAUUCUCCAAGUUCCAGCCACAGAGGAUUAUAGGUACAGUCAGUGGUGCUC